rnacentral:rRNA from 1 species
AUUGAACGCUGGCGGCAUGCCUUACACAUGCAAGUCGAACGGCAGCACGGAGCUUGCUCUGGUGGCGAGUGGCGAACGGGUGAGUAAUAUAUCGGAACGUACCCUAGAGUGGGGGAUAACGUAGCGAAAGUUACGCUAAUACCGCAUACGAUCUAAGGAUGAAAGUGGGGGAUCGCAAGACCUCAUGCUCGUGGAGCGGCCGAUAUCUGAUUAGCUAGUUGGUAGGGUAAAAGCCUACCAAGGCAUCGAUCAGUAGCUGGUCUGAGAGGACGACCAGCCACACUGGAACUGAGACACGGUCCAGACUCCUACGGGAGGCAGCAGUGGGGAAUUUUGGACAAUGGGCGAAAGCCUGAUCCAGCAAUGCCGCGUGAGUGAAGAAGGCCUUCGGGUUGUAAAGCUCUUUUGUCAGGGAAGAAACGGUGGGAGCUAAUAUCUCUUGCUAAUGACGGUACCUGAAGAAUAAGCACCGGCUAACUACGUGCCAGCAGCCGCGGUAAUACGUAGGGUGCAAGCGUUAAUCGGAAUUACUGGGCGUAAAGCGUGCGCAGGCGGUUUUGUAAGUCUGAUGUGAAAUCCCCGGGCUCAACCUGGGAAUUGCAUUGGAGACUGCAAGGCUAGAAUCUGGCAGAGGGGGGUAGAAUUCCACGUGUAGCAGUGAAAUGCGUAGAUAUGUGGAGGAACACCGAUGGCGAAGGCAGCCCCCUGGGUCAAGAUUGACGCUCAUGCACGAAAGCGUGGGGAGCAAACAGGAUUAGAUACCCUGGUAGUCCACGCCCUAAACGAUGUCUACUAGUUGUCGGGUCUUAAUUGACUUGGUAACGCAGCUAACGCGUGAAGUAGACCGCCUGGGGAGUACGGUCGCAAGAUUAAAACUCAAAGGAAUUGACGGGGACCCGCACAAGCGGUGGAUGAUGUGGAUUAAUUCGAUGCAACGCGAAAAACCUUACCUACCCUUGACAUGGCUGGAAUCCUUGAGAGAUCAGGGAGUGCUCGAAAGAGAACCAGUACACAGGUGCUGCAUGGCUGUCGUCAGCUCGUGUCGUGAGAUGUUGGGUUAAGUCCCGCAACGAGCGCAACCCUUGUCAUUAGUUGCUACGAAAGGGCACUCUAAUGAGACUGCCGGUGACAAACCGGAGGAAGGUGGGGAUGACGUCAAGUCCUCAUGGCCCUUAUGGGUAGGGCUUCACACGUCAUACAAUGGUACAUACAGAGCGCCGCCAACCCGCGAGGGGGAGCUAAUCGCAGAAAGUGUGUCGUAGUCCGGAUUGUAGUCUGCAACUCGACUGCAUGAAGUUGGAAUCGCUAGUAAUCGCGGAUCAGCAUGUCGCGGUGAAUACGUUCCCGGGUCU